CAGAGGCAGUAUCCACAGACGGCAAGCUCUGAGCAAACUGCACAGCGAGAUCUGCCACAGUUCCCCUAUCCACAAGGAGUUGGAUAUCACUGGCCUCUGACCGUGGAGUGAUAAAGAUCUGGGAAGGAUUUCAGAGGGAUUAUAAACAGGCCGAGGUUCCAAACCGACUGGGGGCUUGGUACGGAGAUUGAAGGGUAUUGAGAGGCCGUUUUGCUCGUACAUAAAGAGGGAUGGAAAUGGAAGACUUCCAUGUGGGAACAUCUAACGCAACAUCACGCCAACAACCUGAAAGAGAUAUUCAGUGUAUCAGAACCUGAACGUAAUUAAAUUUUCAGCAUGACAAAAAAAAUGUGCAUUCCCUGUGAUGGGAAAGAAGGCAUGUCCUCUGUGUGUAGACGCGACUUCAGUUGAUCAUCUGGUUUAUAAGAACAAGUGGAUUUGCAGUCGGGCAACUGAAACCAAUCAUCACGUCAGUACCUCGCAGAUAAAAUUAUUGUAACCUGCAAUCAUUGGGUAUUUAACAAUGGAAAAUAAAAGCUCUGUUCACAGAGCGGAGGAAACGUACACGUGUUGUACGUGUGGACAGUGUUUCACCAGAUCAUCCGACCUUUCAAGGCACAAGUGCCGUCACGCCGAGGAGAAUAUAUUGAAAUGUGGGGGACACGGCAAAGCAGUCCGAUCCCCAUCUGAGCUGGAGUCUCCCCGACAUGGUCAGACAGAAGACAAACUGUUCAGCUGCUCAGAGUGUGGCAAGGGGUUUACUCAGUCAUCUGACCUGCUGAAACACCAGCGGGUUCACACCGGGGAGAGACCAUUCAUCUGCUCCAAGUGCGGCAAGUCAUUCACCGAUUCCUCCAACUUGCUGAAACACCGACGCGUGCACAGCGACGAGAGACCUUUCAAAUGCCCAGAGUGCAUGAAGUGCUACAAAAGUUCCCGAGAACUGAUGUCCCAUCAGCGGGUUCACACGGACGAGAAACCGUUCAAGUGCUCUCACUGUGGGACUGGGUUCAGGUGGUCCUCUCACCUCAUCGUACACCAGCGCGUACACACUCAGGAGAGGCCCUUUACCUGUCCUGAAUGCGGGAAGGGAUUCACUCAGUCAUCAAACCUACUGACCCAUCAGCAAGUUCAUACUGGGGAGAGACCGUUCACCUGUUCGGAGUGUGCGAAGGGAUUCACUCACUCAACUGCUUUGCUGAGACACCGCCAAGUUCACCAGUAAUGACAGUGAUUGGAUUUUCUGUCAUCAUACACAAAACUGAAGCAUGUUCACUGGGGCCUGUUUGUUCAUCAGCUCCAGCCCAGUGUUGAUUUUUCGGGGUAGAAGUCAAAUAAGUCAGUGCUCCAUUCCUCCAAGUUAAGAUUUACCCAGUUACCAAAGUACUUCUGUCACGUUCAGUAUUGGAUGAACACAAAUACCCUCCAAUUGAAAUGGGGAUGACCAAAGUCACUGGCUUGAGUCGCCAUUACAAAUUCUGUUCUGUAAAUACUGAGCGUCUGCCUCUCCCCAGGAACCUAUUUUGAAUACGUCUGUUCACAACCUCCGUGUCAUCGAGUCCUAUAGCAGGGACGGGCCCUUUCAGCUCAAACUAGUCCACGCUGACCAAAAUGUACAUCUACACCAAUCCCAUUUCCCUGCACUUGGCCCAUAUCCUUCUAAUCCUUCCUAUCCAUGUACUUGUCCAAAUGCCUUUUAAAUGUUGUUAAUGUACCCGCCUCAACCACUUCCGCUGGCAGCUCAUUCCAUAUGCGUCCCACCCUCUCCAUAUAAAAACAAGUUGCCCCCUCAGGUUCCCUUUUAUUCUUUCCCCUCUAAUCUUAAACUGAUGCCCCUCUACUCCUCGAUUUCCCCAAAACUGAGCACAGUCACCCCAUCCAUGCCUCUCAUGAUCUUUUACACUUCUGUAAGAUCCCUCCUCAUUUUCCUACACUCUCUAAAGAAAGAAGUCCUCGCUUGUCCAACCUCUCCCUAUAACUCAGACCAUUGAGUCCAGGCAACAUCCUUGUAAAUUUCUUCUGCACUCUUCCCAGUUUAAUAACAUCCUUCCUACAGCAAGGUGACCAAAACUGAACACAGAACUCCAAGUGCGGCCUCACCAACAUCCUGUACAACUGCAACUUAACUUCCCAACUUCUAUAAUCGACGUCCUGACUGAUGAAGGCCAGUGUACCAAAAGUCUCCCUUACUUCCCUGUCUUAUCUGUGAUUCCACUUUUACAGAGCUAUGCACCCGAACUCCAACCUCCCUCUGUUCCCUACCUUCCUUAAGGCCCCACCGUUCACCAUCAAUCUCCUAGCUUGAUUUUGACUUUGCAAAAUGCAAGACCUCACAUUUAUCCAUAUUCAACUCCCAUUUGCCGUUUCCCAGCCCACUUCCCCAGCUGAUCAAGGUCCUGCGGUAAUUUCUGAGAACCUUCCUCACUGUCCACAAUCCUGCCUAUUUUAGUGUCAUCUACACACUUACUGGAUUGUACCUUGUACAUUCUCAUCCGAGUCAUUGAUAUAGAAAGCAAACCACAGUGGACCCAGCACUGACCCCUGAGGAACACUCACCUUUUUUGAGUUGUGACAAUAAUACCACAUCUGCACUAAUUGUGGAUAUUUCAACACAUCUCUCCCCUGUUUUCCCCCUCCCUCCACGCACCCUGCUCCAGUUCAUCUGUUGCUGAAACUCAACUAAAAUUUGGUUACCUUUUGACUUGAUGUUUCCAACGCAGCCUGAGCGAGUCUCUCUCAUUCAUCAGAAAAAAAAAGCUAUGUUGCUCCUGGUCUUUCUAAGCUCUCAACCCUAUGCUCGCUGAUUCCUGGCCAAGUGUGUUUCAUAUGAAAUUGCUCCAUGUGUACAUUUCCCAUCAUCUGCAAUUGCAACCUCCGAAUCUGUGUCACAAUUUAUUUAUAAUGCUACCUGCACAAACUGAGAGAUAUCUGUACUUUCGUUUUGGUCUCUCGAUGUUUCACUCCCUCUUAACCCCCCAAAGUGAUUCCCAAUCCAUGAUCAGGUUUGAAAGGAUGGAUAGGGAGAUGCUGCAAAGCUGAACGCUGCAAUUUGAAACCGGGUGACCCUGGCUCUGUAUGGUCAUAAAUCAAAUCAUUGAAUAUAACUGGUUGAUAAAGGUAUUGAAAAAUCCCUUUAUUUGCAGAGGGACGAAUUACAAAAGAAAAUAGAAAUUAGAAUCCUGGAAGUGUGGAAACAGGCCCUUCGGCCCAACAAGUUCACACCGACCCUCCGAAGAGUAACCCGUACAAAACCAUUCCCCUACAUGAUGUUUACCCCCUGACUAAUGCACCUAACUUAUAUAUCCCUGAACACUAUGGGCAGCUUAGCACAGGCAAUCCAACCUAAUGUGCACGUCUUUGGAUUGCGGGAAGAAACUGGAGGAAACCCGCACAGACACGGGAGAACGUGCAAACUCCACACACAGAGUUGCCCUGAAGUGGGAAUCGCACCCAGGCCCCUGGGCGCUGUGAGACGGCAGUGCUAACCACUGAACCACCACGCUGCUCCAAUAGUUAAAGUCGUUAACCUGACUCUCUUUCUAAUUCACUGAAUCAUCUUCUGCUGAAAUGACGCAUUCAGUUCUGAGCACCACACUUGGAGAAAACAUGACCAGGCCUUUGGAGAUGGUGCAGAAAAUGUUUGCUGGAAUAGUAUCAGUCAGCUGUAAAGUGUAAAAUGUUCACAGUUCCAACAAUACUCAAGAAACUGGCACCAUCCAGGAUUUCCAGCAGCUGCAAUAUGCACUUGCUUCAUGACCAGCGGGCAGCGUGUACUGUCUAAGAUGCAGUGCACCGUCUCACUAAGGCUCCUUCAACAGCACGUUCCAAACCCACUACAACUGAGAAGUUAGUGGGAUUACCACCAUGUUACAAAUUAGUUUUACUAUCAUUAAUUGCAAUCCCCCUCAAAACCAUCCUGAAUUGAAACUUUAUCACCAUUACCCCUUUGUCACUGGAUCAGAAUCCCAGAGCUACCUUCCAGACAGCACUGUGGGCGUUAUUUCAGCAACUAGACUGUAGCAGUACAAAGAAGCAGUACACCAGCUCCUUCGCUGCUGGUCUGGGCAACAGAGACCACAUCCCAUGAAUAUAUUAGAAGUAAGGUAGGUUCUGGUUUGUGGACACCUAGCAGAAGCUAGGAUACUUGACUUGGAGCUGAGAAAAUGAACCUGUGGUUUUAGUCAGAUGAAGAUUUGUUUCCAGGAUAUUUCAUCUUCAGCGAGAGACAGAAGCUGUUAACAUCGAGGCAACAUUCAUAAAGCACAGCUUUCAGGGAGUGGACAAAUGUUGCAGGGUAAAAAAAUGUGGAGAUUAUUUUACUCAGCAAGUACUGAGGAGCCAGAAUGGGCUGGAUGGCACCUGGAAUGAGAUUCAGCAGUUGUUCUUAGAAGAGCACGUCGCAAGUGGAGGACUUGCAUUCGCGAACCAAAACCAAUCAUCACGUUGAGGUCCGACGGUGUUCCUCGAUUCAUCAGAACCUGGACAUUCGGGACGUUGGAGGUAUACUGAACGAGGCCGAUCUGACUGUCAUCGUUCACCUCAUGAAGGGCUUAUGCCCGAAAUGUCGAUUCUCCCGCUCUGCGGAUGCUGCUUGACCCGCUGUGCUUUUUCAGCGCCACACUCUCGACUAUCAAACGGUCUUUGACCAGGGAAGAAAGAGAGACUUUCCCGUGGGAACCCAUUUCAGCUGGAGGCAGGAGCAGGAGACUUUCAAAUUGAAGACUGUAAAGUAAUUGUAGAGGAGAAUCGAGGGGAAAGGCUUUCAGUCGGGAAUCUGACCGAAUUGUCUCCAUCACCUGAAUACCAUCAGACUUUGAACAUGGAAGCCAAAGGCACCCUUCCUGGUGGAGAGAAACCGUACCCGUGUUCCGUGUGUGGACAAGGAUUCGCCCGGUCAGAUCGCAAAUGAGGUCGGAAUAUGGGGAGACACCUUGGAAAUGUUGGGACUGCGGGAAGGGAUUCAGAUCCCCUUCUGACCUGGAAAGGCAUCAGCGCAGUCACACUGGGGGUGGGAGACCAUUCCCAUGCUCUGAUUAUGGAAAGGGAUUCCCUCAGUUAUCCCGUCUGCUGGCAGACCGGCGAGUUCACACCGGAGACGAGCCGGUAUUUAGCUGCUCGGAGCGUGGGAAGCGACUCAGCCAGUUAUCGCACCUGCAGACGCACCAGCGAGUUCAUAUUGAUGAGAGAUCUUUUACAGCACUUCCCACAAACUCGGCAUUUAAAAAGUUCCAGGGAACUAAUAGUCCCAUCAACAUGUUCACACUGACGAGAAGCUAUUCUGGUGCCCUCACUGUGUGAAAAGGUUCAUGACAUUGUUCCUUCUCACUGUACAUCAACGCAGUCCUGCUGGAGAGAGACCAUGGGCGUGUGGGGACUCUGCGAAGGAAUUUGAUUUUCCAUCUGAUCUGGCAGCUCAUCAAAGUGGCAGCUCACUGGGGAGAGACCAUUCAUCUGUCCUGAACGUGGAUCGCUGCUCCCAUAGAAGAUUCCCUGCAGUGUGGAAACAGGCCCUUCAGCCCAACCAGUCCACACCGACCCUCCGAAGGGUAACCCACAUAGACCAACUUCUCCUCUGAGUAAUGCAUCUAACACUACGGGCAAUUUAGCAUGGCCAAUUCACCUAACCUGCACAGCUUUGGACUGUGGGAGGAAACCGGAGCACCCGGAGGAAACCCACACAGACACGGGGAGAAUGUGCAAACUCCACACAGACAGUCGCCUGAGGCUGGAAUCAAACCUGGGACCUUGGUGCUGUGAGGCAGCAGUGCUAACUACCGAGCCACCGUGCUGCCCUAUUGGAGCAAAACAUCACAAUUUGUAUACUCGAUUUCCUUUACAAUAAGGAACAAUUAAUUUCUCUUUGUAAGCACUUGCUAUACUUAAGUUUUUGUGAUGCAUGUACUAAGGCACUCAGAUCCUGUGAGCCUUAUACUUUU